GAAAAAAAAUUCAAUUAUUUAUUUCAAAUUUGUAGUCAACUUGGUCAAAUAUAUAUCUCCAAACCUCAUCACCAAACGAUUUCCCCAUAUCUCCACUUCCUAAAAUAUCUACAACAAACCAAAUAUCCAUAGAAUUAUUAUAUAUAUCAACUACUCCAUAUCAGUUUCAAAUCUACAAUUUAUAUGAGAAUAUAUACACCCAAACCAUCCCACAAAUUUUCAUCACGUUUGGAGUAGGGCAGCCGUGAGUUUCAUCAAGUUUUCUCCCUGCACAUUGAACGAAUAGGGUUUUCUUUCGCAAGCGAGUUAAGGUGAAGUGAGAGUUUUCAAGUUAAGAAUAUUAAGAGAACGAGGGAGUGAGUCCCUAUUCAAGCUAGUGUACAAAGAGGGGAUCGUGUGCUAUCUUUCGAGUUGGCCGGUCCAGUGAUCGGGAAUGUGGCCACGUUCUCGUUUCACAUAGGAGGUUCAGAUAUGGUACGAGGAGAGAGAAAAAUGGGCUGCAACCAUACUUUUGAGCGAGAAA